GGAGGAUCCGAGCGUUAUCCGGAUUUAUUGGGUUUAAAGGGAGCGUAGGCGGAUUGUUAAGUCAGUUGUGAAAGUUUGCGGCUCAACCGUAAAAUUGCAGUUGAUACUGGCAGUCUUGAGUGCAGUAGAGGUGGGCGGAAUUCGUGGUGUAGCGGUGAAAUGCUUAGAUAUCACGAAGAACUCCGAUUGCGAAGGCAGCCUGCUAAGCUGCAACUGACAUUGAGGCUCGAAAGUGUGGGUAUCAAACAGGAUUAGAUACCCUGGUAGUCCACACGGUAAACGAUGAAUACUCGCUGUUUGCGAUAUACUGCAAGCGGCCAAGCGAAAGCGUUAAGUAUUCCACCUGGGGAGUACGCCGGCAACGGUGAAACUCAAAGGAAUUGACGGGGGCCCGCACAAGCGGAGGAACAUGUGGUUUAAUUCGAUGAUACGCGAGGAACCUUACCCGGGCUUGAAUUGCAGAGGAAGGAUUUGGAGACAAUGACGCCCUUCGGGGUCUCUGUGAAGGUGCUGCAUGGUUGUCGUCAGCUCGUGCCGUGAGGUGUCGGCUUAAGUGCCAUAACGAGCGCAACCCUUAUCGAUAGUUACUAGCAGGUUAUGCUGAGGACUCUAUCGAGACUGCCGUCGUAAGAUGUGAGGAAGGUGGGGAUGACGUCAAAUCAGCACGGCCCUUACGUCCGGGGCUACACACGUGUUACAAUGGGGGGUACAGAAGGCAGCUACCUGGUGACAGGAUGCUAAUCCCAAAAACCUCUCUCAGUUCGGAUCGAAGUCUGCAACCCGACUUCGUGAAGCUGGAUUCGCUAGUAAUCGCGCAUCAGCCAUGGCGCGGUGAAUACGUUCCCGGGCCUUGUACACACCGCCCGUCAAGCCAUGAAAGCCGGGGGUACCUGAAGUGCGUAACCGCGAGGAGCGCCCUAGGGUAAAACUGGUGAUUGGGGCUAAGUCGUAACAAGGUAGCCGUACCGGAAGGUGCGGCUG
rnacentral:rRNA from 1 species